GGAAGCGUGCCUGCCCUUGGGCCCCCUACCCUAGUCCCAACCCAGUCCCAUAAAAGCACCGCCACUACCGCCUUCCUGCCGCCCUCCUGCACCAGGCGCCCCAGCCCUUGGCGUGACCCCCCUCCUCCGUCCAUGGGAACCUUCCAGGCAAGAAUACUGAAGUGGGUUGCCAUGUCCUCCUCCAGGGGAUCUUCCCGACCCAGGGAUCAAACAAACGUCUCAGGAGGGGAAUUGCCCGGUCCUGCGUUAGGUGUGUCUGUGGUGUGCCUUUGCUCCAGCCCCUCUGCAGGUUGGGCCAUGGCCAGCAGCGUUGCCACCUGCUCCGGAUCUCACCAAGAGUGGAGCCGGCCACAGUGCUUAGCGCACAUUCUUCCUCAUUGUACACCUUUCUCACCUUGUCUCCCGGACUCCCAGGGCUCCUAUUCAUCCUUCAGAGCCCUGCCUGGCAUCUGCUGCCCAGAAGUGAGCCUUCACCACAUGAAGCUACUUUGGCUUUUUAAAAAAUUUUAUUUUUUAAAAAAGAU
ensembl:lncRNA